UGAAGAACAACACACCCCGUUUUUUACACGUUUCAAAUGAACAGCCAAUGAAACACCGGGAUGUUGGUACGUGGGGCGGCGUUCAAGACGAGCCAGUUGCUAGUGGCAGCUUCAGCUACACACCGAAACCGAGGUGAUGGAGGAAUUUGAAGAUGGAGAAGCUCCGGCGGCUGAGGAACUUACUCCCUGUAACAUCUGUGGAAGAAGCUUCUUUCCCAAAGUCUUGGUAAAAAUAAUAAAACAUGACAGUACAACGGGGCUUCACAGAAAGAGGCUAUUCAUAGAGAAUAAGUCGACAUUUUCCAAAAUGACUGUCAAGCACAAGAUGCCAGCCCCUCAAAACACACACACACACACACACACACACACACACACACACACACACACACACACACACACACACACACACACACACACACACACACACACCCCAACCAUCAUCAUCAUUACUUCUAAUGCUCAGUAUUAAUCUGUUUUUAAUGUGAGUGUAUGUCAAAGAUC
ensembl:lncRNA